rnacentral:tmRNA from 1 species
GGGGUUGACUGGAUUUGACGGCGAGAUGAAAUGGUACGUAAGCACGCGGAGGCUCGUUGGUUCCCUCCUAAAUCUGAGUCAGCAGAAAAUUAAUUGGCAACAAUGAGUAUGCUCUCGCUGCUUAAUCGAAGUACAGUAGAUUACGAGCUUAAUUCCACUACCAGGUAGAGGAACGAGACGUCGCUCCAAGGAUGUUGUUCCGAAUCCGAAGAUCAAGCGGCGCAGGUUAAAUCGGAAAUAGUCUUGACAGGCCUCGAUGUCAGGAUGAAGUUUUAGAGGAUAAGGCUGUGAUUGGUGGCUUGGGUCUUGUCACAGCACGAAAAUGAAGGCCAAGAUAAGCGUGUAGAAAGCGUAUGGUUUCCUUGUGCGGACGAGGGUUCGACUCCCUCCAGCUCCACA